CUCGGUUCAAAACUGAACCGAAAAUGCAAGACUUGCUUUAAUUGUUUUCCUUCAAUUUCUUUCUGUAUUUACUAUAAUGGAACUCAUGUUAUUUACACUGUGCUAGAUCGAUACAUAUAAACACUGAGAGAAAACAAUUAAAGCAAGUCUUGCAUUUUCGGUUCAGUUUUGAACCGAG
rnacentral:miRNA from 1 species